rnacentral:rRNA from 1 species
GACGAACGCUGGCGGCGUGCCUAAUACAUGCAAGUAGAACGCUGAAGAGAGGAGCUUGCUCUUCUUGGAUGAGUUGCGAACGGGUGAGUAACGCGUAGGUAACCUGCCUUGUAGCGGGGGAUAACUAUUGGAAACGAUAGCUAAUACCGCAUAACAAUGGAUGACACAUGUCAUUUAUUUGAAAUGGGCAAUUGCUCCACUACAAGAUGGACCUGCGUUGUAUUAGCUAGUAGGUGAGGUAAUGGCUCACCUAGGCGUCGAUACAUAGCCGACCUGAGAGGGUGAUCGGCCACACUGGGACUGAGACACGGCCCAGACUCCUACGGGAGGCAGCAGUAGGGCAUCUUCGGCAAGGGGGGCAACCCUGACCGAGCAACGCCGCGUGAGUGAAGAAGGUUUUCGGAUCGUAAAGCUCUGUUGUAAGUCAAGAACGGGUGUGAGAGUGGAAAGUUCACACUGUGACGGUAGCUUACCAGAAAGGGACGGCUAACUACGUG